GACGUAGGGGGCCAGCGUUGCUCGGAAUUACUGGGCGUAAAGGGUUCGUAGGCGGUGUGGCAAGUCGGGAAUGAAAUCUCUGGGCUUAACUCAGAGGCUGCUUCCGAAACUGCCGUGCUAGAGUGCGGGAGAGGCGAGUGGAAUUGCAGGUGUAGCGGUGAAAUGCGUAGAUAUCUGCAGGAACACCCGUGGCGAAGGCGGCUCGCUGGACCGCAACUGACGCUGAGGAACGAAAGCUAGGGGAGCAAACAGG
rnacentral:rRNA from 1 species